AUUAAAUUGAAGUUCUAAACACAAAACUGUUGUGGUGAAUUGUGAAUAAAAGUGCCAAAAACUGUUCAGUGAAACACUGGUAAUUAUAAAACUGCUCCUGGCUGGCUCGCCAAUAUUUGUGUAGCACCUCUGAUGCUAAAUUGAACAGAUUUUGGCUAGACAUCCAAACCUAGGUUCUAAGCAGUAGAAUGAAUUGACUUUCUACAAGAGACUUGUAUAAGAAAAGGUAAAACAGCGGGCACAUUUAAUACAAAAUUCACCUUACUUGUCUUCACAUACAAUAUUUUUGGUUGUUAUACCAAGAAUAUUUAAAAGAUAAAGAAAAGAGCUCCUUUUGGGGAAAAAUACCCAAAUUAAAUAUUUGUCCUUCCGGUUCUCUCGGCCCGGGUAGUAUGAAACAAAACAGUUCAAUCUUAUCUGAAUCCGUUGUCUUCUAUCCAAAAGUUCAGUUGCUCCGUGCGAAAAGGAAUCCUAAACAUUGGCCACACCGCUUCCAAACGUUCCCUCUCUGCUGAGUACUCAUACCCAGAUAGCAAAAAAUAUCCACACGGCUUCUUUUUGCCGCCGGCCCUAAGCUGUCGGCUAUAGGUGCGUCCUGCUGGCAGGGAUGAAAAGUUUGCCGCCGAAUACGUCACUCCCAUUUCUUGCGAGAUGCCUGACUGCUUCAUUUUCUCUGGCGGUUGCCUCGGUCAAAUGGACCGCGGUUGUCCGGCGGCAAGCCGCUUUUAAAUACAAGGCUACUCUCAAAAUCGACCAGCCAUGUUGGUUUGGACACAUUCGCAUCAGUUCGUUGCUCAAUCGCGAGUUACUACAGCCUGCAGUUUGCUAGCUAGCAAAGUCAUCGACUACCAUCGUUUAAAUACCUUGCCCAGAGCAUAACCGGUUAUCUUCACCCAAGAUACCUAAUCGUUUUGGCUUUAAAGGUAAAUGCAUUGUUAGUCACAAUGUCUAGUUACUGGGCCAAAAGGAAAAUAAUAUUGAAAGGAAUUGAGAGGGACAAACAGGACAUUCACUUGAAUCACUACAUGCUACAGAAGUUGCAUCGAUUCCAGAAAACCACGAAAAUGUUGAACCAUCUGUAGACUUCAGAGCUGAACCAGGUUUCUCCCCAGUAAUCCAGACUCGACUUCACAGAGCCAAGAGUUUGAGUACAAGCUCGUCAAGCACUAAGCUUUACACCCCCAGCAGCAAAUUUACCCUGGCAGCAUAUGGGUGAAAACGCUGGAGGAGAAAGUCAUCGCUUUGUUAUUGGCCCUUGGACGCCCCUGGCAUCUCGUGUACAGCACAAAGUUUUCAGCUAUGAAGAUUUCCAGAGACUCCAGAAUGAAAACCAAGCCCUGAAGGAGGAGAACCAAGCCCUGAGGGAAUGCAAUGCACAAGCAGCUUCGGAUGACAGCCGCUCACUUCAAGAGCAGGUGAAGCAAGUAGGGACAAUGUUGUAGACGUUUGCUCUAACUGGGCAAUCAGGUACAACUUGCAAACAACACCUGUGGUUGUUAGUUUAAUACCUGUACAUGUAGUAGACCUAUUGGCUUAUAUCAUUCUGUCAGUGCUUAACGAUUCUAUUAUAGUUUGUAAAUCCUAUUUCAUACCUGUUACUUGAUAUUGCACAUUAACUAGUACCAAAAUUCUACUUUCAUUCCAUCAGUGUGCUUAACUGUUAUUCUAUUACUAAUAGCUUGGAAAUACUAUUUCAUACCUCUGAUACUUGAUAUUGCACAUUACCUGGUACCAAAUAUUCUACUUACUCUGUUUUUAACAUCAGCAUUUUUCAUUAGCUUGUAAAUCCUUGUGCCACAGGUCAGCAUUGCAGUUAUAAUGGUCUGUUCUACUAUUGUUUUUACCUCUGUAUGUUUAUAUAAAUAUAUAUGUCAAGUUUUGUUUAUCACAGAUACAAGAGAGACAGAUCUUAUUGCAGCACGGUGUAAAUCUUGUGCUCCAGGUCUGCAAUGCCAUUAUAAUGGUCUAUUCUACUCUACAGCUUUACUCUAAAUUAUUACCACUUUUCCUAUUGUUAGAAAUGGCUUGAAAAUGUGAUGUUAUACCUCGAUUUAUUUGGUAUCCUGCACAUUUUUUGGUACCAAAUAUCCUCAUUACUUGUUAUGUUUACUGGUAAUUAUUUUCAUCCCAGAGCUGACCUCUUUAUAUUAUUAACAAUUAUUGUGUUUGUGUUAUAAU
ensembl:lncRNA